rnacentral:lncRNA from 1 species
AAUAAAAGUCAUGUUUCAACAUAUCUUACUGAUGAUAAAAUAUACAUUCAUUGAGUUCUUCUACUGUGAAAAUUUAAAGAAAUAAGAAGUACCCAAAGUUACCUAAAUGUAUCAGGGCAUGGAACUCAUGGAAGACAUACUUUUCAUGCCGAAAGUAGUAUCUACAAGGGCCCUAAAUGAUAAAGGCAAGAAGACCAUUGAAAGAAUGUUGGAAUUUAUUCUGAAUGAGAUGGAGAGAGAUGUAGCAAAGUGGCUUCUAGUCCAAAAAUACCACCCUGGCUGCUCUGGUGAAAGUGACUACCAUAAUCCAGGUGUUGCCUAUUACCUACCAUUGCUGGAAGUUCUGAACCUCAGGAUCACCCACCAAUCCCCAAAGAAGCUACCCAGUUUGGGCAAUUACAGGAUCUGCUUCAGGGUUUUGUUUCCCACACUUUGGUGGACGUUGUGUCUGGCUCUCCAACCUCCAUCCCACCCUUUGGAUCCAUCUAAAUCAAUCAAGCUCCUAAGUUCAGUGAGGUUUACCUAAUCAAUCUUUGGAAUAGUGGAUUGCAGGCUUUGAUUUUAUUCUACAAACAAUGAAGAACUUAUUUACUUGCCAAGCUGGUGUAUCACAUGAACAAACAGGUUCCUGGAUUGUUUAUGGUAAGUAGCGUCAUGGGAAAUAACACCUUAUCUGUAGAUAGAGGCAUUGUGAAAUAACUCACUGUGGCUUAAAUUAAUUCAGUGGCAAAUUGUACAACAUUGUCUCCUUCAAAGUCAGAUAUUCAAGAACUAAAAAUGGCAAAUGGUAUAAAUAAUUUUUCUGUAAGUUUUAGAAAGUAUAUUAUCAAGAAAUAGUUUCUAAUAAAGAUAUAUAUUUUGCAUUAUAUUUUUUGGAAUGAUGUAAGUUAAAUUUUUUUUAAAGUCUCUUAAAAUUAAAAAAAUUAAUGUAUAUCAUUAAAAUAAAUUAUUAUUACUUUUAAUUUUUACAGAUACAAUCUCUCUCAGUUGCCCAGGUUGGAGUGCAGUGAUGUAAUCAUAGCUCAUUGCAGCUUUGAACUCCUGGGCUCAAGCAAUCCUCU